rnacentral:rRNA from 1 species
AGAGUUUGAUCAUGGCUCAGAUUGAACGCUGGCGGCAUGCCUUACACAUGCAAGUCGAACGGCAGCACGGGAGCAAUCCUGGUGGCGAGUGGCGAACGGGUGAGUAAAGUAUCAGAACGUGCCCAGUCGUGGGGGAUAACGUAGCGAAAGCUACGCUAAUACCGCAUACGAUCUAUGGAUGAAAGCGGGGGAUCGCAAGACCUCGCGCGAUUGGAGCGGCCGAUAUCAGAUUAGGUAGUUGGUGGGGUAAAGGCCUACCAAGCCGACGAUCUGUAGCUGGUCUGAGAGGACGACCAGCCACACUGGGACUGGGACACGGCCCAGACUCCUACGGGAGGCAGCAGUGGGGAAUUUUGGACAAUGGGCGCAAGCCUGAUCCAGCAAUGCCGCGUGCAGGAUGGAGGCCUUCGGGUUGUAAACUGCUUUUGUACGGAGCGAAAAGGCUUCCACUAAUACUGGAGGCUCAUGACGGUACCGUAAGAAUAAGCACCGGCUAACUACGUGCCAGCAGCCGCGGUAAUACGUAGGGUGCAAGCGUUAAUCGGAAUUACUGGGCGUAAAGCGUGCGCAGGCGGUCUUGUAAGACAGGUGUGAAAUCCCCGGGCUUAACCUGGGAACUGCACUUGUGACUGCAAGGCUGGAGUACGGCAGAGGGGGAUGGAAUUCCGCGUGUAGCAGUGAAAUGCGUAGAUAUGCGGAGGAACACCGAUGGCGAAGGCAAUCCCCUGGGCCUGUACUGACGCUCAUGCACGAAAGC